rnacentral:rRNA from 1 species
UACGUAGGGUGCAAGCGUUGUCCGGAAUUAUUGGGCGUAAAGAGCUCGUAGGCGGUUUGUCGCGUCUGCUGUGAAAACUCGGGGCUUAACUCCGGGCCUGCAGUGGGUACGGGCAGACUAGAGUGCGGUAGGGGAGACUGGAAUUCCUGGUGUAGCGGUGGAAUGCGCAGAUAUCAGGAGGAACACCGAUGGCGAAGGCAGUUCUCUGGGCCGUAACUGACGCUGAGGAGCGAAAGCGUGGGGAGCGAACAGG